rnacentral:rRNA from 1 species
GACGAACCGUGCGAACGUUAUUCGGAAUCACUGGGCUUAAAGCGCGUGUAGGCGGGCCGGCACGUCGGUCGCUGAAAGCCCCCGGCUCAACCGGGGAACGGGCGCCGAUACGACCGCCCUGGAGGAACGUAGGGGGACCUGGAACUUCCGGUGGAGCGGUGAAAUGCGUUGAGAUCGGAAGGAACGCCCGUGGCGAAAGCGGCUCACUGGGUCUCUUCUGACGCUGAGGCACGAAAGCUAGGGUAGCGAACGGG